AAUAACCAAAAAGUUUAGAAAAAAAAAAGGAGUGGAAAAAUGCAGAUGCACUCUUAAGGCUUCGUUUGGAAUUGCGGGAAGAUUGCAUUACGUGCGGUGAGAAAGUACGUUGGAAAAAUACUCUGUUUGUUUUCGUACGUAAUAUUGUGUUCCGCAUAUCGCGAAUUACAAUAUAUUUUCUGCGAUUCCACCGAAAAACGCAGAAGCAUAUUCCUAUAUGCUUUUUCCACAAUCCAUUUUAUCUAAUAGCGUUAGAUAAGACUCAAUACCAAACUAAGCCUAAUUGUAGGGUAAGUAACAUAAGACAGUUUAUAUAACUACUCCACAAAUCAGGUUUUCAUCUAGAAAUGCUCAUUUAAUAUAAUUACAGCCAAACACUAGAUUGUGUCAUCAUCACUCAUUCAUCCUUAUAUAAUUGCCCACAUUAUUAAUCACCACUAUAAAAUCCUGAAUCACUAGUUCCUGAUGUGGGAUGGAUGAGACUUUUCUUAUCUAAAUCAUAUUUCAUAAAACUUUUAUACUAAAAUAUCUCCCCACUCCAUUAGGUCAAAAGAGGGGAACAAAGGAAAAAAAAAAAAAAAGAAGAAAAGAACAACAUUAGCCUAAGGUCUAAAGGGAAUAGAAUAUGUGUCACAUGUGCCACAAAGCAUCUUAUCUUUUUAGGAGAGAUGCAUAGUGUUUACGUUGCUUUUUGUUACAUUAAAAAAAAACCCUCAAUGAAAGUAUGUUCCAUUAAAGCUACUGGGAGUGAAGAAUAGUACAUGUACAGCAAGCUGGAUGGGAAUCUAAGAGGACAUGCUCCAGGUGGAAUAUUUUGGUGCUAAGUCACAAAUUAAAUUAAAUUUAGUGUCCUAAACCAUCAUGAUCAAAUCUCUGUAGGCUAGGAAAGAUCUGUUUGUGUACACCAUUGUCUAGCGCAGUUAUCCUCGCGCGGCAAACAUGUAUGAACAAACAAGGGAGGAUUUAGACCGCCGACUUUUUGGAGAAGUAAAUAUGUGAUCAGUCUGGAAGGAUUCUUCAGUUGGGGUAGAUAGGCUUGCUUAAAAAUAAUAAAAGAAAUAUAUUAUGAGAGCGUUGUUUGCCUACAAUCCCAUGCACAUGAAUUUUUUAUUUUUUGCACACAAGGUUUUUUUUUUUUGCUGCUUUUUGGCAGUGGAAUUGUUCCCGUGUGCAUACAUUUUCCGAGCAUCGGGUCAUAGGAUAGUAAAAACUCUAAUUAAGACUAAUACAAUAGUUUCGCACUGAUAUGAUAUUUUUUUUUCAAAAAAAAAUCUAUUCUUCUACUUUUGUGCGGUGUGUGUAUAUAUAUAUAUAUAUAUAUAUAUAUAUAUAUAUAUAUAUAUAUAUAGGCCAUGGUUACUAUACUAUUAUGAGUAUUGGAGCCCUCGUACUCAUAAGUUGUUUUCAAUGAUGGAGCUUCCGAAUCGACGAUCCACUCCGUUAAAUAUGAUCUAGAGUAUUUGAACAUUCUAGAAAAUAAAUUUCGUAAAUUUUUNUCAUAGGAACAACCCAAUUUUCAUCCAAACGCAAAAUUGGUCUAGUUUCUGCUUAUACCUGAACUUGUACCUAUCCCUAGAACUAGCAGUUCUUACUUAUACCUGAACCAAGCGCAGCCUAAGAGGACAUGCUCCAGGUGGAAUAUUUUGGUGCUAAGUCACAAAUUAAAUUUAAUUUAGUGUCCUAAACCAUCUUGAUCAAAUCUCUGUAGGCUAGCAAAGAUCUGUUUUUGUACAGCAUUGUCUAGCGCAGUUAUCCUCCGCAAACAUGUAUAAACAAGGGAGGAUUUAGACCGCCGACUUUUUGGAGAAGCAAAUAUGUGAUCAGUCUAGAAGGAUUCUUCAGUUGGGGUAGAUAGGCUUACUUAAAAAUAAUAAAAGAAAUAUAUUAUGAGAGCGUUGUUUGCCUACACUCCCAUGCACAUGAAUUUUUUAUUUUUUGCACACAAGGUUUUUUUUUGCUGCUUUUUGGCAGUGGAAUUGUUCCCUUGUGCAUACAUUUUCCGAGCAUCGGAUCAUAGGAUAGUAAAAACUCUAAUUAAGACUAAUACAAUAGUUUCGCACUGAUAUGAUAUGUUUUUUCAAAAAAAAAUCUAUUCUUCUACUUUUGUGCAGUGUGUGUAUAUAUAUAUAUAAUUCAGUUUAGGAUACUAUUUACUUUUUCAUACUUGGGUCAUUACGAUUGCAUUGACCACCUACUCAAUUAUAGGAGAGUGGCGCUACUAUACUAUCUAUAAUAUUGAACGCUUGAUGCUAUUGAAUUUUUUGCUAUUCGAUGUACCCGUUUGAUCAUUUUCAUCCUUUAAAUUAUAUUAUUUAAUCAACCAUAUACUCAACUUUAAGAUUAUCCUAACCGCACAUCACUUCAUCAAAAGGCUGAAAUCUGAUAGUACCAAAUGCUCGGUACUAUUAAUAGUAUAAUAACUUAAUUAUAUAUAUAUAGGCUAGGGCUACUAUACUUUUAUGAGUAUAGCCCCCUUUGUACUCAUAAGUUUUUAACCAUUGGAUGAAUAGAUGUGCGGUUAGGAUGAUAGUGGUCUCCGAUUAGGUUAAUAAUGGUCCUCUAGGAUUGAGUGGGUGGUUGGUUGAAUAGUAUGACCUAACGGAUAGAAAUGAUCAAAGAAGUAGAUCUAACGGCCAAAAAUUUAUGAGUACAAAAGGGACUAUACUCCAUAAAAGCUUAUAGUAGGUCGGACUAUAUAUACUAUAUAUAUAUAUAUAUAUAUAUAUAUAUAUUAUAUAUAUAUUAUAUAUAUAUAUCUACUAUAUAUAAAAGCAAACUUUAUAUUCAAAUUUGGGUCUCGUCGACAACCCAUUUUUCGGCGAAAAAAUUAGCGCCCACCUUUUCUCUUUCCGUACCGAAAAAUUUUAAUUAAGAAUAAAAAUAAAAAUAGAACAACAAUGAAUACGUAAGUAUCUAAAUAGAUACUCUAAUGUGGAAAAUCCAUAAAAUAUAAAUUUUUCUAUUUAAUUUCAAAAAGUAAGUUUCUAUAAAAAUUACGGGCUGUGAAAAUCCUAUAAAAGAUUAUUUUCAUUUUUUUAAAAUAUCUUUCUUAGAUAUUAUCAUAUUAAUUUUAAAAUAAUUUUUUUUAGAUAACGGAUUUUAUUUUUCUAUUUAUAUCAAAAAUUUAUUUCCUAACAUAUUUAUUUUUCUAUUUAAUUUCAAAAGUAUUUUGCAUUUAGAGAUUAUGCUUAAUUAUUUACUCAUUUAAAGAUAAUUCUUCUUUAAUUAGCGUGAUUUAAUUAUUAAAUUUUUGAUAACAUAUUUGGCAAUCAUAUAAAAUGGCCUAAAUUAAAAAUAAUUUAACAAAAUUAUAACUUUUUCUAAUAAUUAUUUAUGUGCAUCUUGGCACGUACAUUUUACUAGUUAUAAUAUAUAUAUAAUAUAAUAUAAUAUAUAUAUAUUAUAUAUAUAAAUAUUAUAUAUAUAAUUAGUAGUAAUACUAUCACAUAAGUACCAAGCAUUUGUGCCUAUUGAUUUUUAGCCUUAGAUUGAGAAAUGACCGUUAGGAUGAUGUGGCCCCCUAGUUGAGUGAAGUGAUCUGUAAUAGUAUAAUUUCAACGCGUAAACUAAUUAAAAGGAUUAAAUUUAAUUGCUGUGAAAAACUAUUAGCGCCAAAUCGUCCUGGCGUAUCGUUGUAUCCAGCCGACUCUCUCUCUCAUAUAUAUAUAUAUAUAUAUAUAUAUAUAUAUAUAUAUAUAUAUAUAUAUACAUAUAACAAAAAAUUAAGAUUGCAAAGAAAAGUUUCUCCAAGGCUGGGGGAGCCGUGGCGCUCUUUGCGAAAUCCGAGGUGGAGGAAUUUUUGUUCGUCCGUUGCUGCAAGGGAAGGCCAAGCUUGGUACAACGAAAGUACUACAAGUGAGCAAAUUCAUAAUUUGUACCCUCUACUUGGGAAUAGGAGAUUCUAGUUCGAAUCUUAAUUCGUGCGGAAAUAAAUGUUUGUAUUAGGGCCUGCAGGUAUCUGAGAUCUCGUUUUCGUGCAGGAAUAAAUGUUCGUAUUAGGCCCUAUCGACAUCUUUACUAGAGGAACAAAACGAGAAGAGAACAAAAAAAUAAAAAAUGCAUAAGCUUUAGAAAGAAAGAAAAAAAAAAAUGUUAAAUGACAAAACUCAAUGGAGUGCAAUGUGCGAACUACGACCUCGUGCCUACACUAUACUGUCAUGUAUGUACAUAUUAAUGCUUACACAAAUUUAUCUCAGUCGAAUAUGUUUGAAAAGAUAAGAUAUUUAAAAAGCUAAGUCCAGUAGUUUGAUUAAUCAAUGAGAAUCCCCUACCGUAGGUUAGGUAGUCAUUCCUAGGAAUGUAAAUGGAUACGGGUACCCGAAUUUUAUCUGAAUCCAAAUCCGAACGGAGCGAAUUUUAUCCGAUAUAAAUGGAUAUGGAUUCGAGUAUAGAUAUAUAUAACAAAAUCUGACAGAUUCGGAUUCGGGUAUGGAUAUUUUAAAAAAAUCCGAACCCAAACCCAAACCCGAACUCAAAUAAUCCAAUCCGAACCCGAACAAAUUUAAUAUAAUAUAAUAUAUAAAAAAAAUUCAAACCAUUAGAUCUGAAUCUAAAGGUCAAAAAAAAUUUUAUACUUUUAUAACAUAAACCAAAAUACAUAUAUUUUUAUAACUCAAACCCUAAUAUUCAAACUUCAAAGCCUUCCCAUUUCCAAAGCCGUCUCCAAAUCCCAAGAGUUAAAAUUUCAAAAGAGAACUAAAGAAGUGAUUGCAGAUUUGUGUAAUCUCUUAUUAAUUCUUCUCCAAGAGGCCAAGAAGGUAUUUUGGUUUGUUGCUUUGUCCAAGAAUCACAACCUUAGACUUAAGAGGAAAAAAGGUAAGGAUUGUUUUAAAAAAAAUUGAGAAUUAAAGUUCCUUCUUUGAUGUGGGUUUUUUGAUUCUUCAUAUAUGUCUUCUUUUUCUUAUUUUUUAAGUUUAAUUUUUUAGUUCGUGUGGGUUGUUAGGCAAUGAAAUUAUCUUUUUUUAAAAAAAAUUUUAAAAAAAAUUUGUUUUAUUUUUCUCUUAAUUAGCAUUUUUAACUUUAGUCUUUUAGUCUUAUGGAUUUUUAAGCAAUGAAACUAUAUUUUCGUUUUUAAUUUUUUAAAAUUUUUUAUUUUGUUUUUCUAUUAAUUAAUAAUCUUUUAGUUUUUUUGGGUUGUUGGGCUAAGAAUGUAGUGUUUCUGAGCUUUGGAUAGGAUUGGCUUCACUGUUAGUGACUGGUCGACACAGCUGGAGAGUGUUGGACUGAGUCGGAGUCGUUUCUGCGCGAAAUGGAUGCAGAAAGGGACUCGGCGUACUCAAAUAAGCAAAACUGGAGUUUUGCCAGAUUCGGACGCCCAGAAUAGGGUUUGGGUCGCCCAGAAAUUGAGUGCAGAAUUGAACUGAACUGGAAGUCAAUUCGGGUCCAUAUUUCGGGCGCCUGGAUGUGGGUCCGGAAAUCUACUUUGGAAGUAUCGUUUGCGCUGACACGUGGCUGGUGGUAGGUGAAGUCCGCCGGAGCCGGAUACGGGCGCAACACACCACGAGAGAUGGAACCAAAGGGGAGCAAAUGUACAGACUGGAGGUUUCGGACGUCUAGAAAUGGGUUUUGGGCGUCCAAAAGUGGCCAUUUCUGCAGGUGUAACAGAAUUGCAGCCUUUAUUCCUGAGGUUCAUCUGACCCUAUCUUCACCCUAUAAAUAGCUGAGGAGAGUCCCUGGUGAGCUUUUUUCCUCUCUUCUUCACAGUGAUCCUCUACUUUGCAUUCUAACCCCUCCAAAUCACUCAAAUUACAUCAAAGGUCCACAAAUUCAGCUUGAGGAGUGCUAACUCUGUAGUUUUCCAGCGACGACCUUCGGUGCUUUGGCUCGUGUGUGACAUAGGAAGGUCGGAUUGCCGUGAAACUUGGUUUGCUGGAUUCUAGACUUCCAGAGGAAUCCACGAAGCCUAGAAUUGCAGAUUUUGAUUGAGGUUAGCUUAGUCGAACUCAAGUUCUUCUCUGUUGCUAUUGUUUUGGACAGAUUUUUAGGUUUGUGAGUUUUCUUUGAUGCUAUAUUUGGAGGCAGGAGGAUUUGGGACCUGAGUUUGAUACUCCAUCAUUAUUCACUGGAUUUGGAACUUGCCUCACCUAAAUUGGAGAUUAUUAGGUAAGUUUUGACAUUGGAGUUGAGACAAAUUACGCUUAAGUGCUAAAAUUUGGUGAAUUGAUGGAUUUCGAUGAAUUUUUGGGUAUAGAUCCUUCGAGUAGCUUUGUUGCUGGGUGUGGGUGAUCUCGGCUGAGGCUUCCAGCAAUUUGUGACCUUCUUGCUUCCAGGGAAUCGCUCUAGAGGUGGGUGUUUCAUCGGUUUUGCUCCUAAGUGCUUGUAGUCGACAUGUAUGAUUUCGGUUCUCGUAUAUCAUGUUGUAGCUCAAAUUCAUUAAUUGUAGCAUGUAUAAAAUCUAAAUUGGGAGCAUGAUUAUUAAUUAGAUGAAUAUACAUGUUGGACUUGGAACUUGACUUAGGAGAAAACCAGCGAUUCGACCUGUCAUAUGAUUCUACUACCUGAUUUAGCUCUAGGAGCCGUGUUUUGAUUGCAUCACCGCUGUUUCAGCGCGGUGGAUAUCCGGGAUAGUUUAGAAUGCAUUUACACUCGUGCUGGAAAGCCGAGCUUAUUUUUACAGUAGAGUCUAGGCUGUUUCGGGUUGUCGGGUGCCGUCGGGAUGGACGGUGGACCCAGAUUCCUGUUUUUGAUCUCAGAUUGUGCCGAGGGCACGUGGGUUUGGUUUCUAGACCUCUUUUGACCCUAGCUACUUGACUUUGACUUGUUAGAGCCUGAUUGAGCUCGAGAGAGAUACGCUGCAUACUCGGUUGGGUAGCUCCCACGAGUGCCACUCCGGAGACGGGCGCUAUACUUUCGCGUUGGUGUCGUUCGUGCAUGUUGGACUUGCUCUCCACGGACUGGUUAGUGUGGAGGUAGCAGUAUAGUCGCGACCGGGCGGAACGAGUGUGUUCACAGUCCCAGGGACGGGUAUGAUUACAGUCCUCAUUUAAGAUUGGGUCUGAGUUGAUACUGUUCUACAGAUGAUUAGAUUUAGAGCAUGAUAGUAGUGUGGCAUAUAGCUGUAGAUUUGUUCCAGCUUUCUUUACUAUUCCUGCUUAUCCCUGUAGACUUAGUGGGUGGACCGAUGAGUUUGAGGGCGGUACCCACUAAGGACUAUUUGUUUUUACAGUAGUUCUCAUGCCUUGUUGUUAUCACUGUUUUUGCAGAGCCGUCGCCUUCGGAUGCUGCUGUUGCUGAUCUUGAUCGUGGCAAGGGCGUCGCGAGUUAGAGCCCUUCCAGUCGAGUCGCAGAGCUAGAUGAGCACCAGCUACAGGUAGUUAUAGUUUUUGGGUCUUUACAUACAGUUAUUAUAUCUCGCCAGAGCGAGUGUUUGUAUACCUGGAUGACAUGUAUGUAUUGAACCACAGUUUAUAUAUUUGGUUUAUUUUCCUAGCUGCUGUAUACUACUGUUUGUAGUAUUGUAUGAUUAUAGGUACUUCUACUUUUUCGCUUCGAAUACAGAGAAAAUACCUAUGUAUAUAGUGGGUCUGUUAGCGAGCCCGGAGAAACGAGUAAUCCGGGGCGUGACAAAGAAACUAUCUUUUCUUUUUUUAACUUUUUAAAAAAGUUUUGUUGUAUUUUUUUUUAAUUAGUAUUUUUAAUUUUAGUCUUUUAGUUUUUAUGGAUUGAUUCUUUAGAUCUACAUGCCUUUUUUAACUUUUAUUUUUUUCUUAUGGGUUGUUCGGUAAUGGAGCUCAUAUUUCUUACAAUUUUUUUUUGUAUAAUAUGUUUCAAAAUUUGUUAAAUAUUAUUUUCGGCUUCGGAUUUUUAGGUUAAAAAUUGGGUUUCGGGUUUUUGGUCAGAUUUGGGUUUGUUCCGGAUUCGAGUUCGGGUUUUCCUGUUCGGGUUCGGAUUUUGGGUUUCUGGUUGGAUUCGGGUUUGGAUAUGGAUUUUUAAAAUCCGUCGGGUUCGGGUUCGAGUUCGAAUUUCGAAUUUGGUAGUCGGGUUCGGGUUCGGGUUCAGAUUUUUGAAAACCCGCCCCGAAUCCGACCCCUUGACAUCCCUAGUCAUUCCUAAUGUUUCCUCAAGGCAUAUAGAGAGUAAAAAAUUUUUUUGAAGAAAAUUUUUUUUUUGAGAGAUAGGUAGCAUGCUACCCGUUUCGUUUAUUUCAUUUAGAAAAAAAACUUAACUGAAAUAUAUAAAAAAAGGUCUUUUCAUAAAAAAUUUAUUGGGAUAAUUUCAUACAACUCCUUAUAAACAUAUCGAAUAGCAAAUAUAUCACUACAAAAUUCAAGUUUUCAGAUUUAUCUCUUCAAAAGUCUGAUGAUAUUCAUAUUUGUCCCUCUGAUUUGUUUCCAUUAACUCAUUGUUUAUUUUUUAAUAGAAGAUAGGUAAAAUGUGUCAUCACAAAUAUGUUCUUCCAAAAGCCCUAACUAUUAGAAUUGUGCAAAAAUGAUGUCCUCCCAAAGCUUCCCACUGGUCAUCAUCUUUCUAUAUAAAAAUUAACCCAAUCCACUAUUAUGCAAUCUCUUCUGUACCUCUUCUCUCACAACUUUUUUCCUUUACCUAUCUACUGCUGAUUCCCCGACGCUUGACAUGGGCAAAGUAACAUGCGUCAUUGAUGGAUGGGAAUGAAGAAACCCUAGUUACUGGUUCGAAACUAGCAUGAAGAAGAGAGAGGAAGAGGAAUAGGAAGAGGAAAAAGAGUUCUCAUUGCUAGGGUUUUGAUAGAACUAGAAUUUUCAUAUGAAAGAAGAAGGUAUAAUAUCAGAGGAGUAAGAAGGAUAAUUUACCUCACUCACUAAUCAAGGUUAAGUAUUUUACUUAUAAUUAAUUAUAUUUUUUUUAACGAACACUAAUAAUAGCGGUAUAUUUGAAACCAUUAGGAUUUUUUGCUGCUAUACGAUAUGUUAAUAGGGAACUAUAUGAAAUUAUCCCAAAUUUAUUAGUCUUGGGUUUUUGCAGAAUAGGCCGCAUUUUUUUAUUUUGUACAUUCAAAUCAAAUUUUUAAGAAACUGACCAAAUGUUAGAAAAUUGAGUGCGAUAAAUACAGCGGAAAAAGAAAAUCAAACUUAUUUGAUUUUAAAAACUCGAGAUCCGAUCUCAAAAUACCACGCAAACAUGAUCCUUCAUAUUGUUUAAGAUUAAAGGAGAAAAAGGAAGAUAUAAUCUUCACCUUUGCUCGGAUAGAUUUUCACCGCAAUCUGAUGAUCAUGGAAUUGGUUCUCUUGAAGCCGCACAAGCGUUCAGCCUCUAUAGGUAUCUAACGAGAUCGUCGAUGUGAUCGAUGUCCUCACCGGGAUGUUAGUUCCCUUGCAGAGGACGUCUUUGCUAGAAGAUCGAAGAGAAGAAGAGAGAGAUGAUGGCUAGGGUUUUCUAAAAUCUUCCGUAUCUUAUAAAGAGGGAUAUAAUCCCUUUUAUAAUAAUAUAAUUAACAUUAAGCAUAAGAAUAAAUCUAGGUUUAUUUUCAUCAUUUUCUUAAUUGGUUCAAUCGAUUAAAUCUUAAUUUAAAUCGACUUGAACUCAAUCCUAAUUUGAUCAAAUCAAAUUAAUAAUACAAUAUUUGCACAUAAGUCCUCUCACAACUUACUAACUAUUAGUAAGUCCUCUCUUGCAAUAUUUGCACUUUAAUACCACUAAUUUGUAAUAAUUACAGAUUAGUCCAAUUAUUAACAUAUUGACAAUUAGAUCCUCCGGUGAUUCAAAAAUCGCGAUUUAGUUAUUUGAUCGGUCACAACCUCUUAUGUGUGUAACCCCAUAGAUUCUAUUCUAUCUGAUAGUGAGAUAUAUUCUUAUCAAUAUCAACAAUAUCACUGAAACUCCUUUCGGUGGGUUGAAAUAAUUCCAACUCUGGCAAAUGAGAAUUAUUGAUCAUCUAGAUAAUUCUGAUGAGUCUCACAAUCCACAAUGAUGCCGGCAGCAUGUAGUGGCAUUCCAGUAGAAUGGAAUAUUGAACUUCUUGGUGCAGUUAUCGUGUGAUACAGUCCUUCUAUCAUGAGUCCCGACUAGACAGAGGUCAUAGAAUAGCUCGUCAAACCCCAUCGUCUGUCAUAUGUUAAAUUUAUUCGACUCGAGUUUCUAAUAUCGGAAACCUUUUUUCGCUAUUAACUCCGCCCUAACCAAGAUCUUUUAAACUCGGUCUCAUAAAUCAUAGAACUAACGCCUAUAUUUAUAAAGAGAAAUUGAUUCCAUAUACGUGCACACCAUAUUCCUAUAAUGAACCUAAUACAGCCAACAUAUACUACAAGGACCCGAAUGGCUAGGGAUAUGACCAACUGUAUGUAUAGUCAAACUACAGUAACCUCAUUGUGAAUAGCUGAGGCACCGCAGGUCAAAGGACUAAUCACACUAUUGCAACAUUGAGCAAGUCACUGACGAGUGAGUAGACAUCCAAGUGACUUCCCGCGUUGGUCAUGCUCGGUACCCUUGUUCUCUGACAACCACCUGCACAUUCGCUCUAGUGUUCCCACACUGUUGACUCGAGACUCGUCUAUCCAAAACGGGAAGUGAUCUAUGUACUAAUCUCACAGGAUCAAUCACUGUCUCCGUAAUGAUUCAACGAUCGGGAGCAUUUAGGAAUUAAUCACCAAUGACACAUGUCUCAAAUUCUCAACUCUUGAGAAUAUAUGUCAUCAUCUUAUUAAUUUCUUAGAUGAUUCAUAGACACAUACACAACAUGAAUAAAAAUAAUAACCCAAAUUCAUUCAUAAUAAUUUUAAAUCAAAUAUAAAUUUAUGUUCUAAAAAGAAUACAUGUGUCGGCUUGGUUGGCUUCUAGGGCAUACAUCUAAUACUAAAUACUCUUAUUCUCUCACUCCUAUUCUCUCUUUUCUUCUUUUCUUUCUUUUCCCGCUUCCCCCUUCUCCUCCUCCGUCGCCCGCAAGUCGCUAUCACAUUCUUCAUCCUACCUCACACACAUCUCCAUUAUGGCGGCAGCGUGAGCUCGAACGGGGCACGAAUCACGGUGAUAAGGGCAUGGCUAGCGACACAAUUCGAGCCAACAGGCACAGUUUGAUUAAUGUUAUACUAGUUUAUUAGUGCAAUAGAAUAUAAAAAUAGUGCAGCAUAUAGUCAAAUAAUUUUUUUGCACUAUUUGACUAUAUGUUUCACUAUUUAAUAGUAUAUUAUACUAUUUUAUAGUUUUUUAUAUUUAUCAAAUACUAUAAUAUAUAGCCAAAUAGUGCAGCAUUUUUAUUUCCCUUAAUAAAAAAGGGAUAAAGAACGAAGAAGAAAGAGAAGAAGGACAUCAAUAUCCCUUUCAUCUCCUUCCUUCUCCUCUAUCCCCGCAUGUCAUUGUUGUCGCAAUCUCGUCCUCCUCGACCUCCACCUCGCCAUUCGUGAGAGGGAACCCCCUCUAAGAUCAUUACCCUUGCGUCAACAACCUAGAUCCGCGAUGACAAUGGUGUUAGAAGAUAAAAAGGGAGAAGAAGGGGGAGAAAGGCGGUGAAGGAGGAGAAGAGAGAGGAAGGGGGCGACGACGACGAUAACGACAUCAAAAGAGAUGAAAGGGAUGAGAGAACGAAAGGAAAGAGGAAUGAAUAAAGGCCUUUUAAUCACAUUUCUAAAAUUAGGAUCGAAUAUACAAAAUUUAAAAAAUUGGCCUGAUUUUGCAAAAACGCAAAACAAAAAUUUUUUAUGCAAAUUGGAAAAAAGAGAGAGAGGGAGAGAAAAAUAAUCAAUGAGAAACAUAGAGAAAAAUUAAUUAGAAUUUUUGGGCUAAACUAUUAUGAAUUUGAUUCAGAUGGUCUUAUCUGAUUCACACCGGGUUUUGUUGCAUCUAAUUGUUACUGAAAGAUCAAUCUACUAAAAAAAUAGGCCCAAAUAUAUAUCUAUACUAUAUAUAAAAUCACGUAUUUCAAAUUUCGGUCUAUCGACAAACCCAUUUCAAAAUUCCUAUUUUUUCAUAUGUAAAGUAAAUAAUGUAACGAAACAAAAUUUUAGUUCCUCUCUUUUCUCCAACUAUUAAUAUUUUAUUUUUUAUUAAAUAUUUUUGUUAUUCAAUAUGUUUUUGUAAGAUAAAUAUUUAUAUAUUAUCUCUAUUCUAUUUACUAAUAUUUUAUUAUUAUAUUAACUUUUAAAUUUUGAUUCAUUUGGUUUAAAAUAUUUAUUUAAAUUUGGAUUUUUUUGAAUUAAAAAAUAUAAAAAAUAUAUUCAAUGUAAUACUGCAUGACACCGAUUGUCAAUAUUCAAUAUUCAAUGUAUUACCAAUUGAAGAUCGGUCGAGAUGGAGUCGAAGCGAGGAUUGGAAUAAAGGGAAAAGAGAAAAAUAUCUUUUUUGUUGAGGAAUCUUCGACUCAAGAUGAGCCAAACACUUCUAGUGGUAUAGAAGAUUCGGCUGAUAAGGCCAAAAUAUAUGCUGCAAAAAUGAUUAAAAAUCGACAACCCUAUAAAUGUGCGUUCCUUAAGCUAGCAUGAAAAGUGCGCGUCUCUGUAUGUACUUAUUCUUUUGACGUCGCAAAGACCGAUUUAAUUUUUGAUCGGUUGUUAAAAGGCGACAGAAUUAAGCUCCAGGAGAGUCAAACAUUACCUUCUGAAGAGAAAUUAAAUAGGAGAAAGUAUUAUAAGUUGCACCAUUCGUGGAGCCACAAGACAAACGAAUAUACAACCUUUAAAAAGCAAAUUCAAAAAGAGAUGAACGAGGGUCGGCUUAUUUUUGCUUAUCAAGAAAACGAAAAUAGUAUGAAAAUUGACCAAAAUCUAUUUUCUUCUCAUGUCAACAUGGUGGAUGUUAAAGGGAAGACAUCUGCGGAAGAAAAGUUUGAGCAGGACAUAGUUUACACCAAAAUGGCUCUUCGACUGUGCAUACGAUACAAAGCCGAAAUGACAUGCUGUGACUCGGAGGCGAUAAUUCAAGAGAAGAAACUGUAUAGGGAAUGGAAGGAGUUCAUGGCAUUCUUCGAAGAAUGGGAAGAUCUAUCCGAGGCAGAAAGUGAUCUGGACAAUUAUUCGAGAGAAGAUUCAAACAACUCCGAAGAAGAAGUGGAGUCUAAGAAAGAUCAGAAAGACCUCGUGAUACAAAAGGUCCUGGACGAUUAUUAUCAUCGUCAAACUGAAAGGAAUGAGCCGAAGAAGUUACCCUGAGAUGUCCUUCGGCAUACAACAGAGAUAUCUGGGAUAUCGGCCUAACUAGCAUUAUCAGGCCAAGCUGAGACCCGAGCUCGAAGGGAUGACUGAGGGUGAUAUUGAAUUCCUCGGUCGAAAACUAGUUUACGAACUCGACAUCCAACCCUGGCUGAGACCAUGGGAGGGAAAAGAAAUCUUGAGAGAGUACCUCAGGAUUGUCAAAGUGCCAGCUAAUGUGUCAGUGGAUCAAUGGCACACGGCAAAAGCACCGGCUAGAUAGUAUGGGCCAAUGUUGACAAAAACUCAAAAUGGUCGACAACAAAGGUUACAAGCUGAGGCCCGACAUCACUGGGAGGAAGCUAAAGGAAUGAGGCUGAAUGUUUAAAGAUGGCCCAAGGUACAGCUAUCCUUUCGACUUAUGAAGAACGAUCACGAAAUGGGUGGUUCAACACCUGUACCUUGGUUGAAGCCCAAGAUCGAGCAGUUGGCUCUCGCUGAGCCGACAAAGAAGGUGACGCGAAAAGCAUAGGAAGAAAAGAUCGCCUCUUUGGAUACGAUCAUCAAGCGAGACAGAUGGCCUCCCAAGGAGAGGGAGGUUCAGCCAGAAAGUGACUCUUCAGUCGAAGUAGCCAAAGAAUUAGAGGAGAAGAAACAAAAAGUUCAGGAAAGAUCGGCUGAAGAAAGCUUGGGUGAUGUGAGUAUGGUGUAUGCUCUACUAUUCUCAUUCAGAGCAAAAUAUAUAGAGUUUGAGCAGCAGAUCUAUACAAGAGAGGAGCUAUCAGCAGCUCAACUCCAGCUUGAAUAUGCGAAAGCGGCUGAUGCAGCAAUUUUCGAGAAGCCAUCAGCCCUACAGACAAGGUUUGUUAGGCCUUUAUUUAUAAAGGUUUUAAUAGAUGGACAGCCUGUGGGACAAGUUUAGAUUGAUAGUGGGGCAAUGGUCAACGUCAUGCCUACAUCAUUUUUCAAGAAACUAGGCAAAGCGAAGAUAAACUCAAGCCCACCGAUACGACCAUGAUUGAUUUCACUGGGAACGGUCAACAAGCAGCGUACUCAAGACUGAGCUCACGGUCGGAUCUAAAACCCUUCAGACAGCUUUCUUUGCGGUGGAUGUAGAUAGCCACUACAAUUUACUACUCGGGCAUGAUUGGAUUCACGCAAACGAGUGCGUACCAUCCACCCUGCAUGGAAAGCUUUUCCAGUGGACAGGAGAUCGCGUGGAAAAAAUUAGGGCCGAGGGACGGUCGCAAAUAGUGGACAUUAACGUGGAAGACGUCGGUCAUAUCAACUGGGUCGACACCGACCCGGAUCAAAUCUCGUUUGUGCGGGUCACUAAAGAGGAGGUACAGCUAGUGCUUCUAAAGGAUACAGAGGCAUUGGUGGCCCUGGAAGAGCCACCAGACUGGUUAAAAUGAAACAUCAAAAGCUGGGAACAGAGGCUCUAGACGAGCUUCGGCAAGACAAGCGGACCAAAGAAGUCGGUUGCUUCAUCGAAUCGACCGAGUUGGCCGAUAAAAAAUCAUGUAUUAGAUCAGCCAAACUAGUUGAUGAAGAUUUGUGUGUGAAAUUAGCCGAGUCGACAGAUAAAAAAUUAUGUGAUGAAAUUCUGAGUUCAGGAGCUGAUCUGAAUGAAAACGAAACGACUCAAGAGGUAGAAGAUGUGAAAAAGCCUGGUCAAACUUGCGCUCAAACUACAAGAGGAUCAAGACGGAGUCUAUUGAAGAAUCACCAAUCGAGGUUGGCGAGAAAAAGCUGGAGACUCAAGAUCAGUUAAAAGAAGUGAACUUAGGGUUGGACGAGAACAAAAAGACGACGUAUAUUAGCACAAAACUUUCGGCUCAACAACAGGAGGAGCUGGCGAGGUUGCUAGUAAAAUACAAGGAUUGCUUCGGCUGGAGUUAUGAGCAAAUGUCUUAGCUGAGUCGAGAAAUUGUAGAAUAUAGACUUCCUAUUAAAAAGAGGUACAAGCCUUACAAAAAACUGGCUCGUAGGUUUGAGCCGAGUGUUGUACUUUAAAUUAAGAAUGAAAUUGAAAAUCUUUUAAUGACCGAAUUUAUUAGACCGGCCUGUUAUAUUGAUUGAGUAUCUAAUAAUACCAGUACGAAAAAAUGGCAAACUUAGAUUUUGUAUCGAUUUUAGAAAUUUGAAUUUGGUUACACCUAAAGAUAAAUACCGGAUGCCCAUAGCGGACAUGCUAGUGGAUUCGGCAGUCGGACAUAAAAUUUUAUCAUUUAUGGACGGUCAUGCGGGCUAUAAUCAAAUUUUUAUUGCCAUAGAAGAUGUAGCUAAAAUGACUUUUAGAUACUCGUGGUCUAUUUAGACCUUUGAAUGGAUGGUGAUACCUUUCGGCUUAAAGAAUGCUAGAGUCACUUAUCAAAGGGCGAUGAAUUUUAUUUUUUAGGAUUUGAUCGGUAAAAUAUUAAAAGUUUACAUCGAUGAUAUUGUUGUAAAAUCUAAAUCACAGACCGAUCAUUGGGCUGAUUUAUAACUUGCUUUUGGGCGCAUGAAGAAAUAUAAUUUCAAAAUGAAUACUUUGAAAUACGCUUUUGGGGUUUUAGCAGAAAACUUUCUUGGAUUCCUGAUACACCAAAAAGGAAUCGAAAUAGGUAAAAAUAAGGAAAAGACGAUUAUAGAGUUACCACCGCCUAAAAAUAAGGAGUUGCAGAGCUUAUUAGGUAAAAUAAA
rnacentral:lncRNA from 1 species